UGAUGGUGAUGAGGACAAUUUCUGAGCAUGCCUUUAAAUUUCUCCCAAGCUUGGAAGAGUUUUCUCUAUCUUAUUAUCUGAAACUCAAGAUCUCACUCAUCAAACA
rfam:Capsicum annuum cultivar Zunla-1 chromosome 9, whole genome shotgun sequence